ACAACCCUAACCAUGAAAAACCCUAACCAAUGACCCGGUUUCCUUCUUCCCCACACCCCAGCAGCAACCGAAAUCCCUUCUCCCCCCUUCCCCUUCAACAACACAAUACACACACUCUAAAACAAAAAGGAAGAAGAAAUGGAAAUAAGGAAAGGGGUGAGAGCAGAGGGGGAUCCGAGAGAGAGGAGUGGAGCUGCGUUGGGAGAAGAGAGGGCGGAGACUGCGCCGCGCGCCGGGCUCCACCAUCGACGCCGCAUCGCCGCCAGAACCGUGCGAAGGACAGGGGAAGAUCACCACGUUGCUGUCCGUGCCGCCAUCACGCGCCACCGCCGUCGAGCCUUAUCGCCGCCGUUGCUAACAGAAGAAGAAGGAGAUAUCGGGGAGAGAGGGGAACGUUGCACCGGCGUGCUGGACUCCACCGCCGCCAUCGGAUCGUCGCCACUGGUCCACCUGAAGCUGCGACACGGAGAGAGGAGGGUUCGCGAGUGGGAAAGGGCUGAGGGCCUGGAACCGCCGCGCCUAGCCACGCCUGUGAAGCCACCGUCGUCGUCCAAGCUCGCCACCGCCAGUCGCGCCGUCGCCAUCUCUGCCCAGCGCCACCGCGGAUGAGGGGUCGCCGAGAAACGCCACCGCUGCUGCUGCUGGGAACCGCCACUGAAGACGCCGGAAGUUGCCGCCGCUGUUCUGCCCCACCGAAUGGCACUGGAAAAAUGCUGCUGCCUCGCCAGAGUUCUGGCCGCCGGAGAACCUCGCCGCCAUCGUCGGAAAAUCUUGCCGUCGCCGUCGCCAGAGUUCUGAUCUAACUGCCGCUCGAGGUGGUUGCCGGGGCUGCCGGCAAACUGGUUCAGCUAUCGCCGCUGUUUCGUUUUCUUAGUUUGGUUGGGCUCUGAUGAUGGCGUGUCGCAUAAGUGUUGCUGUGACUGCUGUGUCGUUCCUUUUAUUUCAGAAUUAGUAUCCGAGCUUAUAUGUGGCGUUGAGUCUGUUUCUGCUAUUGAGAAAAACAAGCGAAGCUGGAAUUUUGGUUGUUGGUUUCGUGUCGAGGAGAAAGACUUUCCUGUGGCGCGUUUGGUUUAUGUAUUCGACGUGUCGAGGUAGGGGCUUUUUGUACAAACUGAUUUAUUUUAAAUUGGAAAUUGUUAUAAAUAGAUAUGCUGUGUAAAACAUGUUCCCCUGAUUAUGUGAGUCUUAUGAAUUGUCUGAUUUGAUCCUGAAUGAAUAUGGUUGUCUGUUUGAUUGAGAUAAUGUCUGCUUUGAUAAAUUGGAGAUGUCUGAAUUUGGUUGAAUUGAAAUGCUUUUUGAUAAUCUGAAAGUUUGAGUUUUUGGUUUUAUUGGAAAUUGAUUUGGUCUUGAACCUGUUGGAAAGAGUUGAGGAUUGGUUUGGUUGGGACCCGGACAGGGUGGCAAAGUCCAAAUUUUAGGGGAGAUAUUGCCGAAAUUUUUAUAAAAUCUGAGAUUUUAAUUGGAACGUUAUUUUGAAAAUAAUGAAUUUUGCUUUGAAUUAGAUGUUUGAUAAAUAAAUUAUGUUUGAACUUACCUUAUUAAGAAAAUUUUUAUAUUUUGGAUGUAAGUAUUAAGAAAGGAAUUAUGUCUUAAAAAUCAAUUUAAAUAUGAAAAUUUUUAUGUUUUGGAAUUUGAUUUAAGUAAAUAAAUUUGAAGGAGUUUUAAUGGAGUUCGAUUAACUAAUUUCACUUUACAACAUUUUAAGAAAAGGUUGAAGUAUUUUCUGAAACUUUGAUUUAGUAGGACUUAAACACUUUCCGAGUCUUUGGAAACCGAUUUAAGAAUGAAACUAAAAAUUGGUGUUUGGUUUAAAUGAUUUGGUUUUGGUUAAGUUAGUGGUUUUGAAAUGGGUUCGGAAUAUUCGGAUAUAUGACUUGAUUUUGGUUUAAAUUCUACUUUUUAUUAUUCAAAUCAAGAAGGUUUCGGAUGUUUUCUAUGAAUUUUAAGAAAUGAGUUAGGUUAUUCUCCCUUGAAAUCUUGAGACUUUGCUAAGGAAUUUUUACGACCAAACCUUGAAUUGAGAAAUGAAUGAUUUAGUCUUUCAAAGAGAUUUUGAAUUUGGCAGAGUUUUGUGUUUGUUUGGAAGUGUUGAAAAGAUGUGGAAAGUGGCUCCGUUUUGAAAAGUGAUUCUUGGCAAGAUGUGAACGGAAUUUGAAAGAAAAUGGGUCAAGAAUGAAUUUGAAAUAAGUUAUUGAGCUUGUUUGAUUAUGGAUGUUCUCAAGAUUGAUGAGUUGUUUUGGUAGGCAUAAGGGUUGGGUUCGUCCCGCUUAUGCUGAGAUGAGAUUUUGAUAAGUCACUGGCAUCGGGCAAGGAUGGCGGUUUAAUCCCGCUCGUCGAGGGUGCAGCGCCCGCGUAAGGACGGUGGUUAAUCCCGCUUACAGGGGAGGCAAGGACGGUGGUUUGGUCCUACUUGCGUGUUCCGGGCAAGGGCGGAGGUUUAAUCCUGCUUGUCUGUGGGACCUACGGGUUAUUCCUUUUCAGGAUAUGGACAAUGAAGCUUCAGAAGAGUUAUAUUCCUUUUUCUGUUUAUUCGUUAUUUUUGUAUCAUUUUAGCUUUUAUUUUUCCCUCGUUUUUUUUUUAUUUUGUAAGAGGGAUAGAUAAUUAUGAUAUGUAUGUUUACAUUUUCAACGAAAAAGUGUUUAGGAAUGGUUAUGCGGUUUUAAGUUUUAAACAGGCUCAUAUUUUAGUAUUAAAUAUUAGAAGAGUCAUCGUAAUGCUCGAGCUAUCAGAGUGUCGCAGCUUCCGGAAGCGUGACAUUUGAUAGUUAGGGUGUUACAUGAUUAAAUUGUUUUGGUUUGCCUA